rnacentral:rRNA from 1 species
AACGAACGCUGGCGGCAUGCCUAACACAUGCCAGUCGAACGAGACCUUCGGGUCUAGUGGCGCACGGGUGCGUAACGCGUGGGAACCUGCCCUUAGGUUCGGAAUAACUCCCCGAAAGGGGUGCUAAUACCGGAUAAUGUCUUCGGACCAAAGAUUUAUCGCCUUUGGAUGGGCCCGCGUUGGAUUAGCUAGUUGGUAGGGUAAAAGCCUACCAAGGCGACGAUCCGUAGCUGGUCUGAGAGGAUGAUCAGCCACACUGGGACUGAGACACGGCCCAGACUCCUACGGGAGGCAGCAGUGGGGAAUAUUGGACAAUGGGCGAAAGCCUGAUCCAGCAAUGCCGCGUGAGUGAUGAAGGCCUUAGGGUUGUAAAGCUCUUUUACCCGGGAUGAUAAUGACAGUACCGGGAGAAUAAGCUCCGGCUAACUCCGUG